CCCAGCUUUGACAUCCCAGUCCAACUCCACUCAUGUCCCUGGAACUCACAGAAAUUUAUCUAAAUUCAGUUGUGGAGCAGAAGCAUCUCACUGUACAAUGAGACAAGCAAGUCUCUGAAUUCCAGAUUCUGAAUUCCAGAUUCAAAAAGAAGACAGAACUUUCAAAGCUACCUGAGUUAGAGCCUUUGAUACCACACAGAGUUUGGGAAGGGGCAGCAAAAUUUGGUUUAAGGCAUAAACUAUUCCCUCAGUGCAGCAAUGAUGUGAGCUCUCUAAGAAUAUAGACAGGGUUUAUUUAAACAACCUUUGAAGUGGAUGAAAUUAGCUGUCAGGCAGUUGGACUAGAAAUUCUAUUAUUCCAUUCCAUUCCAUUCCAUUCCAUUCCAUUCCAUUCCAUUCCAUUCCAUUCCAUUCCAUUCCAUUGUGCUGGUUAGCCUGGAUGAAAUUCAAGACCCAGAAGAAUUGCAGAUAUUCUCACCAUUCAACAGCAGAGCCAGAAUUGGUGAAAAACUGAGAGGCAAGACUGAGGAAGAAGUUUAUUGUCCACUUAUGAUCCAUCUGUGCAUUGUGCAUCCUCUCCACUGUCAGCUGAACCUGAGCGCUCCAGACUUACUGGAGAGCUCGCAUUUGACAGAAAAGCCUCUGAAGAUAUAGAAGCUAUUGACCACUGUUCAUCAUGGACAAGCAAGCUGAACAACUUGGCAAGUUAUUAGUUGUAAUGAUGGUGAUUCCAAUUAGGCAAAAGGGCAGAGAUUUUUCACUUGGAGUGGAUCACACAGAUCUUUACUUCCAUUGUUUCCUUUCCAUGCUUCAAUGGACAGAAAACAAAGAACCAGGAAGGUCACAUAAGGUUGCCUGACAUUACCACAUAUCUGUUCUGCACACAGCUCUCAAAACCUGAAGCAAGUUCUUUCUGCAUCUCAUUACUAGGAAAAUACAUGAAGUCUGAAGAAAAGCCUUCUAUAUGUUCCUGCCAUUUUCUCCCCACUCUUAAGAGGGCUCACAGAAGAUAAAUUCCAGAUGCCAGCUUUGUUCCUGGAUGAUCUGAGGGCUGAUUUAUCCA